UGUGAUUAAAAUACUUCCGCUCACUAAAACGGCAGACACCUUGUCAAACUUUAGCCAGUGUUGGCAUCCCGAAAGAAAACAAACACAGGGAAGCUAAGCUCAACUGCAAGUGAGACCACCAAAUCGGGUUUUGUCUGUUGGAGAUGAAUCUUUCCACCCUUAAAUGGAAAAAAUUAAGACUUGAGAUUUGAUCCUGGAGUACUUUGAAAGCUGAAAAAGAAAGAGCAAGUGCCAAGCUAGUCAUGGCUUUUAAAAACGAUUUUUAUGGUCUUGGUCUUCUCUCAGUCUGUACUUCCACAGGUGUCGGUCUGGCUGACUUCUGGUCUCGGAUCACGCGGCCUUGAGCGCCACACUAACGUGCCGUGCUCUCGUGUAAUGCUCCUUUGUUUCUAAGGCACAUUUCAAACGAGACCAUUUGUCCUGGAACAGAAACGUCAACAGGACGCUAAGAGGGGAGCAUAAGAGGAGAGCGAGGCUGUCGAUGAUUAACUUUGGGUGGCUCAGCUGCUGCCUGCGCCCGUUACAGCCCAAAUCCAUUAGAGUGUUGAUUUAAUGAAUUGCUAAUUUGCCUCAAUGAGGUUGCCUAGCAACCGGAGUCGGCGCGCCGCGACCAACAUCCACCUGCAGUCAUGAUUUAACCGCAGACAAAGUCGGUUUACUCACUGGUUCAUUGCAAAAAAUAAAUAAAUGGUUUCAAGGGAGGGUUUCGAAGAUGGGGUUAGGGUAUCAAAGAGC